rnacentral:piRNA from 1 species
UAGAAGCUUGAGAGCCCUCUAUGAACGU